rnacentral:rRNA from 1 species
GUUGACCUCGGAUCAGGUAGGAAUACCCGCUGAACUUAAGCAUAUCAAUAAGCGGAGGAAAAGAAACCAACAGGGAUUGCCCUAGUAACGGCGAGUGAAGCGGCAACAGCUCAAAUUUGAAAUCUGGCCCCCGGGUCCGAGUUGUAAUUUGUAGAGGAUGCUUUUGGUGCGGUACCUUCCGAGUUCCCUGGAACGGGACGCCAUAGAGGGUGAGAGCCCCGUCUGGUUGGACGCCAAUCCUUUGUAAAGCUCCUUCAAC